ensembl:lncRNA
CGUUAAUAUUUUCUUUAUUACGCAGAUGCUAGGCAUUUCAUCUAAGCAGAGAGUACACUAACAUAUAGAAGAUGCUCAACAAAUAAUGUGUGUAUAAAAACAACUAGAGAAUUAAGAAACUUUUGAAUUCUGAUCUCACAAAUUAUCCAGUAGGUGGACAGCAGACAUCUUCAAGGCCAUGAGUAGAGCACCCAACCUCUUGUGUGAUGUAGGCUUGGGCUUCCUUGCUAAGAAAGUCAAGUUUCUGAGACAGUGAGAUAGUCAAGGAGUAACAAGCUCACCGGGUGAGUCUCUCCUAUGACCCACCCAAGUAUACCCAAACUAUAAAUAAGGUCCCUCCAUCGAGUAUGAUGAUAGGAGUCAUGAGAGAAAAGGCACACUGUCGUAGUGGCCUUCAGUUUCUAACGUCAAAUCUUCCCUCAGGCUUCUUCUGCCAGAAAAUUUCAACACAACACCGCACAGACAAGAUUUAUGUUACACGAGAGUUAGGAUCAAUAACUUCGAAAAGUGAGCCUCCCCUAGAGCCUCUGGACUUUUGUAUUGGGGCUUUUCUCCCCCUAUUUUCACACCUGCAUCCAUACUGACACAGCAUCUGCUCCCCUCACAAGACCCAGGUAUAGGAGCAUCAGGUUCAGCAGAUUGUAUCUCCUCAUCUGGCCUGGCAUUUGUCUGUCAUGCUGUGGCCGGAAUGUGAUACCUGGUUGACGAAAAGCAGCCCUCACAUAUGUCGGGAGGCCCUUUGUUCCACCAGGGUGCCCCUGCUGUUCAGAGUUCUCCAAAGGUUCAGGGAUUCAGGUCUCUGUCUCUCUCACUGGCCUUUUAAGACAAAUGGCCACAUCACAGGACAGCAGGUGCUGCUCAGCUCACCAUUUGUGACUCCGCAGAUACAUACACCUCUGCCUGCCACUUUACCCAAUCAAUCAAGGAGGCUGAUAGUCGUGUGCACACCCACGUGUGCCUAUGCCAUGUGAAUGCGCUCUGUGGUUUGCAGAGUGUGAAUGUAUGCUUAGCUUUGAUGUUUUCCAUUUUAUCUCAAGCCUUAUCUUGAGAGUUCAUGGCACUCUGGGUGAAGUGGCAAUUAAUCAGCCCCAGGCAAUGGCUCCAACAAAAGAUUCUACAGAGUCACAGAUGGAAUGUAUGGACGAAGGAAAGACAAAAUAACAAUUCUAUAGUCCAAAAGUGCAUCAUACAAGUUCCCUUCACCCUCUGAAGGAAUUAAAAUAGUGCUUAGGAUGCCUAGGACAAGAAGAUAUAAAAAAAUUUUCUGAAAACGACAUCCAUAGCACACUCAAUGCACAGAUGUAUCUCCAAAGGAUGUUAUCGUGUUUUUGAAAAGGACACCAUAAUCAUUAUUGUCUUCUGAUAAAUUGGCUGUAUCUGAUGGACACAUCAUCUAUUUUCUAAGGCCAAUAGACAAGAGUUGUGAAGGGCUGACCUCUCCCUCCUAGUUCUUCCUUCAUCAUCUGUCCUCUGAGGGAAAAAUAUUACAGUCAGCCAUGAAAACUUCAUGGAUUAAUUCUUUACAUUGUAAAUAUCUUUGCAUUUUUGUAACCAAUAUUGAUGUUUAACAAUAUAUACUGAACUCCCAUCUUGAUCAAAACUAUUAAACUAUUAAGUAUAACUAUUUAAUUAGUAAAGCUCCUUAUAAGCAGAUUUAAAAAUACAAAAUUCAGUUUUUUAAAACAGUACAGAAAUUUAUCAUUAAUUUUGUUUUGCUUCAUUUUGCUUUUUCAGACAUUGUUCAAUCUUAAGAGAUAGAUUCCAGUAUUCUUGUUCCUCCUGAAGAACAAGUGUGCUCAGUGAUGGUGUUGGAGUGUCUUUCCAAGUGGCUGGACCCCUUUCAUAUUUUCAUAAGAGUUUGGCUAGGAAAAGUCUCUUCCUUUUCUCUGCAAGCCCCAUUUUAGAAAACUGUCAAGUGACCUGGUAUGGAUGAGCCCCUUGCUGGAAGUGGCUGUGACUCCAACCUUCUCUGAGCAAACCACUGAGAAUGGACAGGAUACAGAGAUCUGGUAUUUGGCUGAAAUAUGAACCAGGUUAAAUCCACAUACCUUCAACUUUGUCAUUCUGAAACUAAGUAAAUGCUGGGUGGCAAGAGUGAGCCAUGCAAGAGGUCCCCAUCAUUUGGUUCUCUAGGAACCAUUUGGAUGAAGGUGGAAGCCUUCACAUUUUUGGAAAGCAGAAAGUCCUCCAGCCUAGAGGGAGGCAGUGUUACAGCCACUUGCCACUUUUGAUCCCCUCUGUUCAUGCUCUGCAGAUCAUUAGUCCCCAGGAAAACCAGAACUGGAGCAACAACUCAGCCCCCAUUUAUUGGGUUCGUAUUAAUGUUCCAGCCACUUGUUCACUGGCAACAGAAUCUAUAAAGACAAACACAUCAAGGCCCCUGCCUUCAAAUAGCAUGGAUAGUGGAACACUGCAAGAGGUUAUACUCAGGAAAAAAACAGGUGCCAUGGAGAGUGAAUGGUCAGUAUGGACUGAAAGGGUUGGGGGAGUUUUGUAAAAUAGCUGGGUGGUCUUUGAAAAAUGAUUAGGAUUUCAACAACUAGAAAAGAGAGAGAAGAAAUGAGAAAAUGCAGAAAGAGAGAGAGAGAGAGAGGAAAGGAAGAGAGAAGAGAAGAGAAGGGAAGAGAAAAAGAAAAGAAAAGAAAAGAAAAGAAAAGUCACCAGCUACAAGAACAAAGGCAGCAAAGGGAACAAAGUAAGGAGAGGCAGCCUGGCUGAAUUCAGCACAGAGUAAGUUGAAGCACAGUAGGCUAAAAGAUAAGGUGGCCAAGGAGAGUAGGAACGGACUGGGGCACCCGGCCACAGGGGUGAUGAAGGUGGACUUCAUUCCUCCUGCAAUGGAUAGUUGGGUGACUGAGGGACAGUCUCAGCUCGGCAGUGCGUGGGGAUGCAAGGACAAUGAAUCAGAAAUACUUUUCCUCCGGUCUUUUCCAUUUCCAUGAUGCCCGCUGACAUUCCCUUCUGCCCUUCCCACUGUGACCCACAUCACUGAUCCUGAAGUAAAGCCCUUUGCUGAAGACACUCAGUUUAAACGGAAGAUUGCCAAAGACUGAAAAACCUUCAAGUUUCAGAAACUGGAGUCCGCAGGGUGAAGACAGCAGCUGCAACGGCGGGUGGCCCCUCUCCAGGCGUGACCCUAAGGGCUUGGAAGAUCUGGAGGAAAAGGCACGGGAGAAUGAGCACAAGAUGCUUCCUUCUCAGGCUUUACUCCUCCCCAGGCAAACCCCAAAGCGCUGCAACUGGCCUCAAAACAGGGUCCAGGCCCAGCUUUUAAAUCCCCGGAUUAGUCAUAUCCUUUUCUCAGGCUUCAGUUUUAGAAGGCCCGCUGCAAGCGGCCACGCGGGACCAUUCCUGUGCCUGCGCGCGCCUCCGCCCCGCGCAGAUGAGUAAGGACCUCAGGAUCGCCCGAGCUCAGCUCGGCCACACCCACCGCGCGGCUCCUUCCUGCCUGCCUGCCGGUCCGAGCUGCACAAAGCUUCCAUUGUACCGGGUCUGUUGCUCACAUUCUUGUCUUUAAACGCAUUGUAUAAAUAGUCUUCUAAUUUUUGGCCACUGCCUCUCGUUUUCCGGAGGAAUCCUGUUACGAGGGACCGGGCACCUCCUGCAGACCCCUGCAGAAAGACAUCGCCCCUUCCCACUGGGGCUGCAGAGGCAGUAAGCAUACCAGGCUGGAACGGAGGUGGAGUAUGAUUCAUUCGUAGCUGAAAAGUGACUCAAAAAGGAAAUUGCCCGGUGUGCGCGGAUGACACAGUUCAUUGUAACCUGCUGUGACCAGGCCUGUCUGUCAGGCAGCCGUCUACCUUUG